GUCGGGGCUUCGGCCCGACCAAUAGGCGUCGCAGAGACGCUGUGACGCUGCUUGUAAUCCAUGUUGCUUUACGGAGGAUAUGGCUAUGAGAA
rnacentral:sRNA from 1 species